rnacentral:rRNA from 1 species
GGGACACGUGGUAUCCUGUCUGAAUAUGGGGGGACCAUCCUCCAAGGCUAAAUACUCCUGACUGACCGAUAGUGAACCAGUACCGUGAGGGAAAGGCGAAAAGAACCCCGGCGAGGGGAGUGAAAAAGAACCUGAAACCGUGUACGUACAAGCAGUGGGAGCACGCUUCGGCGUGUGACUGCGUACCUUUUGUAUAAUGGGUCAGCGACUUAUAUUCUGUAGCAAGGUUAACCGAAUAGGGGAGCCGAAGGGAAACCGAGUCUUAACUGGGCGUUAAGUUGCAGGGUAUAGACCCGAAACCCGGUGAUCUAGCCAUGGGCAGGUUGAAGGUUGGGUAACACUAACUGGAGGACCGAACCGACUAAUGUUGAAAAAUUAGCGGAUGACUUGUGGCUGGGGGUGAAAGGCCAAUCAAACCGGGAGAUAGCUGGUUCUCCCCGAAAGCUAUUUAGGUAGCGCCUCGUGAAUUCAUCUCCGGGGGUAGAGCACUGUUUCGGCAAGGGGGUCAUCCCGACUUACCAACCCGAUGCAAACUGCGAAUACCGGAGAAUGUUAUCACGGGAGACACACGGCGGGUGCUAACGUCCGUCGUGAAGAGGGAAACAACCCAGACCGCCAGCUAAGGUCCCAAAGUCAUGGUUAAGUGGGAAACGAUGUGGGAAGGCCCAGACAGCCAGGAUGUUGGCUUAGAAGCAGCCAUCAUUUAAAGAAAGCGUAAUAGCUCACUGGUCGAGUCGGCCUGCGCGGAAGAUGUAACGGGGCUAAACCAUGCACCGAAGCUGCGGCAGCGACGCUUAUGCGUUGUUGGGUAGGGGAGCGUUCUGUAAGCCUGCGAAGGUGUGCUGUGAGGCAUGCUGGAGGUAUCAGAAGUGCGAAUGCUGACAUAAGUAACGAUAAAGCGGGUGAAAAGCCCGCUCGCCGGAAGACCAAGGGUUCCUGUCCAACGUUAAUCGGGGCAGGGUGAGUCGACCCCUAAGGCGAGGCCGAAAGGCGUAGUCGAUGGGAAACAGGUUAAUAUUCCUGUACUUGGUGUUACUGCGAAGGGGGGACGGAGAAGGCUAUGUUGGCCGGGCGACGGUUGUCCCGGUUUAAGCGUGUAGGCUGGUUUUCCAGGCAAAUCCGGAAAAUCAAGGCUGAGGCGUGAUGACGAGGCACUACGGUGCUGAAGCAACAAAUGCCCUGCUUCCAGGAAAAGCCUCUAAGCAUCAGGUAACAUCAAAUCGUACCCCAAACCGACACAGGUGGUCAGGUAGAGAAUACCAAGGCGCUUGAGAGAACUCGGGUGAAGGAACUAGGCAAAAUGGUGCCGUAACUUCGGGAGAAGGCACGCUGAUAUGUAGGUGAAGUCCCUCGCGGAUGGAGCUGAAAUCAGUCGAAGAUACCAGCUGGCUGCAACUGUUUAUUAAAAACACAGCACUGUGCAAACACGAAAGUGGACGUAUACGGUGUGACGCCUGCCCGGUGC